rfam:Schistosoma mansoni strain Puerto Rico chromosome W, complete genome
GCACUUCUGAGGAGUCCCACAAUAGGACAUAACGGCCGUCCAGUGC